CAGGAUGUUUCAACGUUUUUCGGUGGGUUUCGCAAAAAUUUCGUUCGGGACGAAGGGGUCGGAGGUUCAAAUCCUCUCAUCCCGACCA
rnacentral:tRNA from 1 species